UUCAUAAAAAAUCCUUAAAUGAGGAAUGAUCAGCUUAUUAGCUAAUCCACUGUUUAGGCUUAAUAAGCCGUUGAUAAGAACCAUGAUUUAUAAACGUUUAUUAGGGGUUUCUUAACUAAUAAGCAGAUUAGACUCGUUAUGUUGGCAUCUUGGCACAUCAUAGACAAAAAUAUGGCUGAACAUUAAUUAAAAAAAAAAGUUUGACAGCAGCACUAGCGGUAAAUCAUAAAAUCCUGAACAAUACGAUGCACAAUUUUGACCAGUUUUCUGGGUUAUUAUAUAUUAAAAUAGCCUCUGCAUCACAAAAACAAAUAAAUAAUAUUGCACGGCCGGAAGUUUUACGAAACUCGGUAAGCAACCACCUAUAUCAUAGUCUGAUAAUCAGAUAUGUUACGAGUAAAGUUCAUUGCAAGAUUUGCAAGCAAUAUUGAUAAAACUAUGUGUUAUUGCUUAUAGUUUCAAUAUAUUGUGGAAUGAGGGAAAGAGGGCAGUUGCACAUCUCAAGUCAAGAAUUCUGCCUGCGCGCCAUCGCCACCGUAAUACCACGGAUUCCAACACAUUUUGUUCUGGUGGCGAAACACAAACGAUAUUGACACUAUUCAUAUCAAAUGAUCGGUGAAGAUAAAUCAGUGAAACAUCUCAGCCAAUAGCCGCAUUAAAAGGCAAACUGCACAAUUCAUAAUGAAGCAGAAAUGUUCAUUAUUCACAGGAGUGUCGCUGUUGGUAGGUUAUAUAAUUUUAAAUCAACAAAGAUAUCAAUAUGAUUUUUACAUAAGGUACUUAUCAAUCAUAACACACCAUUGUAGGUUAAUUAUUUGUUUAAAAGUAUAUUAGCGUUUCAAUUCAUAACUUUGUUAUUAUUGUAUAAUUUCAUUUUAUCAAACUACAAUUACCGGUAAGAAACAGUGUCUGUAGGUACGCUAGGUAGAAGUAUGUAUGAACAAAACAGACAUGUAUGUAAUUCUUUAGUUUUGCUGUGAGAUAGCUAUGGUAUUGACAAACAACAACAGAAUCUCUGCCUGGAUGGAGAUCCAUUAUUCCAUAUAGUUACCACAACAAUAUGGAAAUUAUUCCAUAUUGCCAUAUCCAUUAGGAUGUUAUACUUAAGCUUAAAAUAAAAGAUGAUAUAGGUUGAUUCAAUGAGUAUAUUAAUUGAAACUGUGUUCUUUUCAGGUUGUGAGUAUUCCAUCAUCAGCUAUUUGUCCGGAGCUGGCUACACAAUCCGGAGGCCACACUCUUCUGGCAUCUAACCGGCCUGCACACCGCCAUCAAAUGAAGUUGGUUGUACUGAAAUAAAGAAAAAAUAUUAACUAGUUUAAUGAUUGUCAAAUGUAAUAAAAUUGUUUUAUUUAAGUGGGUUGUUUGAUUUCCCUAAAUUAACACAUGAAAUAUGUUGAUAUGUUAUAAUAAAAAUCUCAGUUAAAAACUCA